UACGAAGGGGGCUAGCGUUGCUCGGAAUUACUGGGCGUAAAGCGCACGCAGGUGGCUGAGUCAGUCGAUUGUGAAAGCCCUGGGCUUAACCUGGGAAUUGCAGUCGAUACUACUCAGCUAGAGUAUGGGGAGAGGGUAGUGGAAUUCCCGGUGUAGCGGUGAAAUGCGUAGAUAUCGGGAGGAACAUCAGUGGCGAAGGCGGCUACCUGGCCCAAUACUGACACUCAGGUGCGACAGCGUGGGGAGCAAACAGG
rnacentral:rRNA from 1 species